rnacentral:rRNA from 1 species
CCCGGACAAUAAAUGUUACUAACACACUGGAUCCUAUUAGAACUAUGUAGUUAAGUGCACUCGAGCUAGAGUAGUACUGGGAUGAGUGACCGCUCAGGAAGUCUUAGUAUUUUACAUGC